rnacentral:rRNA from 1 species
AUGCAAUGUAACCUCGUGUGCCGUUGCAGUACUCGAGCGACAGCGGGGGGAGCUGCUCGGCGCAGGCGACGAAGCUGCAAUGGAGCGCUCGACGCCGACGGCGGAGCUGCAAUGGAGCUGCUCGGUGCGGGUGGCGCAGCUGCAAUGGAGCUGCUCGGCGCAGGUGACGGAGCUACAAUGGAGCGCUCGACGCCGACGACGGAGCUGCAAUGGAGCUGCGCGGCGCAGGCGACGGAGCUGCAAUGGAGCGCUCGACGCCGACGACGGAGCUGCAAUGGAGCUGCGCGGCGCAGGCGACGGAGCUGCAAUGGAGCGCUCGACGCCGACGACGGAGCUGCUGGCGCAGGCGGCGGAGCUGCAAUGGAGCUGCUUGACACAGGCGGCGGAGCUGCAAUGGAGCUGCUGUUGGAAAUAUGCCCUAGAGGCAAUAAUAAAAUGGGUAUUAUUAUAUUUCCUUGUUCAUGA